rnacentral:rRNA from 1 species
GAUGAACGCUGGCGGCGUGCCUAAUACAUGCAAGUCGAGCGAACGGACGAGAAGCUUGCUUCUCUGAUGUUAGCGGCGGACGGGUGAGUAACACGUGGAUAACCUACCUAUAAGACUGGGAUAACUUCGGGAAACCGGAGCUAAUACCGGAUAAUAUUUUGAACCGCAUGGUUCAAAAGUGAAAGACGGUCUUGCUGUCACUUAUAGAUGGAUCCGCGCUGCAUUAGCUAGUUGGUAAGGUAACGGCUUACCAAGGCAACGAUACAUAGCCGACCUGAGAGGGUGAUCGGCCACACUGGAACUGAGACACGGUCCAGACUCCUACGGGAGGCAGCAGUAGGGAAUCUUCCGCAAUGGGCGAAAGCCUGACGGAGCAACGCCGCGUGAGUGAUGAAGGUCUUCGGAUCGUAAAACUCUGUUAUUAGGGAAGAACAUAUGUGUAAGUAACUGUGCACAUCUUGACGGUACCUAAUCAGAAAGCCACGGCUAACUACGUGCCAGCAGCCGCGGUAAUACGUAGGUGGCAAGCGUUAUCCGGAAUUAUUGGGCGUAAAGCGCGCGUAGGCGGUUUUUUAAGUCUGAUGUGAAAGCCCACGGCUCAACCGUGGAGGGUCAUUGGAAACUGGAAAACUUGAGUGCAGAAGAGGAAAGUGGAAUUCCAUGUGUAGCGGUGAAAUGCGCAGAGAUAUGGAGGAACACCAGUGGCGAAGGCGACUUUCUGGUCUGUAACUGACGCUGAUGUGCGAAAGCGUGGGGAUCAAACAGGAUUAGAUACCCUGGUAGUCCACGCCGUAAACGAUGAGUGCUAAGUGUUAGGGGGUUUCCGCCCCUUAGUGCUGCAGCUAACGCAUUAAGCACUCCGCCUGGGGAGUACGACCGCAAGGUUGAAACUCAAAGGAAUUGACGGGGACCCGCACAAGCGGUGGAGCAUGUGGUUUAAUUCGAAGCAACGCGAAGAACCUUACCAAAUCUUGACAUCCUUUGACAACUCUAGAGAUAGAGCCUUCCCCUUCGGGGGACAAAGUGACAGGUGGUGCAUGGUUGUCGUCAGCUCGUGUCGUGAGAUGUUGGGUUAAGUUCCGCAACGAGCGCAACCCUUAAGCUUAGUUGCCAUCAUUAAGUUGGGCACUCUAAGUUGACUGCCGGUGACAAACCGGAGGAAGGUGGGGAUGACGUCAAAUCAUCAUGCCCCUUAUGAUUUGGGCUACACACGUGCUACAAUGGACAAUACAAAGGGCAGCGAAACCGCGAGGUCAAGCAAAUCCCAUAAAGUUGUUCUCAGUUCGGAUUGUAGUCUGCAACUCGACUACAUGAAGCUGGAAUCGCUAGUAAUCGUAGAUCAGCAUGCUACGGUGAAUACGUUCCCGGGUCU